GAGUGGCGAACGGGUGAGUAUAACAUCGGCACAUUUCCUGUAGUGGGGGAUAGCCCGGCGAAAGCCGGAUUAAUACCGCAUACGAUCUAUGGAUGAAAGCGGGGACCUUCGGGCCUCGCGCUAUAGGGUUGGCCGAUGGCUGAUUAGCUAGUUGGUGGGGUAAAGGCCUACCAAGGCGACGAUCAGUAGCUGGUCUGAGAGGACGACCAGCCACACUGGGAUUGAGACACGGCCCAGACUCUUACGGGAGGCAGCAGUGGGGAAUUUUGGACAAUGGGCGAAAGCCUGAUCCAGCAAUGCCGCGUGUGUGAAGAAGGCCUUCGGGUUGUAAAGCACUUUUGUCCGGAAAGAAAUCCUUGGUUCUAAUAUAGCCGGGGGAUGACGGUACCGGAAGAAUAAGCACCGGCUAACUACGUGCCAGCAGCCGCGGUAAUACGUAGGGUGCGAGCGUUAAUCGGAAUUACUGGGCGUAAAGCGUGCGCAGGCGGUUUGCUAAGACCGAUGUGAAAUCCCCGGGCUCAACCUGGGAAUGCAUUGGUGACUGGCAAGCUAGAGUAUGGCAGAGGGGGGUAGAAUUCCACGUGUAGCAGUGAAAUGCGUAGAGAUGUGGAGGAAUACCGAUGGCGAAGGCAGCCCCCUGGGCCAAUACUGACGCUCAUGCACGAAAGCGGGGGAGCAAACAGGAUUAGAUACCCUGGUAGUCCACGCCCUAAACGAUGUCAACUAGUUGUUGGGGAUUCAUUUCCUUAGUAACGUAGCUAACGCGUGAAGUUGACCGCCUGGGGAGUACGGUCGCAAGAUUAAAACUCAAAGGAAUUGACGGGGACCCGCACAAGCGGUGGAUGAUGUGGAUUAAUUCGAUGCAACGCGAAAAACCUUACCUACCCUUGACAUGGUCGGAAUCCUGCUGAGAGGUGGGAGUGCUCGAAAGAGAACCGGCGCACAGGUGCUGCAUGGCUGUCGUCAGCUCGUGUCGUGAGAUGUUGGGUUAAGUCCCGCAACGAGCGCAACCCUUGUCCUUAGUUGCUACGCAAGAGCACUCUAAGGAGACUGCCGGUGACAAACCGGAGGAAGGUGGGGAUGACGUCAAGUCCUCAUGGCCCUUAUGGGUAGGGCUUCACACGUCAUACAAUGGUCGGAACAGAGGGUUGCCAACCCGCGAGGGGGAGCUAAUCCCAGAAAACCGAUCGUAGUCCGGAUUGCACUCUGCAACUCGAGUGCAUGAAGCUGGAAUCGCUAGUAAUCGCGGAUCAGCAUGCCGCGGUGAAUACGUUCCCGGGUCUUGUACACACCGCCCGUCACACCAUGGGAGUGGGUUUUACCAGAAGUGGCUAGUCUAACCGCAAGGAGGACGGUCACCACGGUAGGAUUCAUGACUGGGGUGAAGUCGUAACAAGGUAGCCGUAUCGGAAGGUGCGGCUGGAUCACCUCCUUU
rnacentral:rRNA from 1 species